rnacentral:rRNA from 1 species
UUGUCCUACGGGGCGCAGCAGUGAGGAAUAUUGGUCAAUGGGCGGAAGCCUGAACCAGCCAAGUCGCGUGAGGGAAUAAGGCCCUACGGGUCGUAAACCUCUUUUGCCGGGGAGCAAGGGCGGGGACGUGUCCCGGCCCGGAGAGUACCCGGAGAAAAAGCAUCGGCUAACUCCGUGCCAGCAGCCGCGGUAAUACGGAGGAUGCGAGCGUUAUCCGGAUUUAUUGGGUUUAAAGGGUGCGUAGGCGGGCAUUUAAGCCGGCGGUCAAAUGUCGGGGCUCAACCCCGGCCUGCCGUCGGAACUGG